AUGGAAAAUAUCAUUUAUCACAGCCAUUCAUCACUAUAUGGAGGAUACUUCGACACCUUGAAAACCGCAGCUAAGAUUUUGCGAGCAGGGUUUUACUGGCCACAUUUGUUUAAGGAUGUAAGAUCCUUUGUGCUAGGAUGUGAUCAAUGCCAAAGAACAGGUAACAGUUCAAGGAGGAAUGAAAUGUCACUGCAUGGUAUACUUGAGAUAGAAUUGUUUGAUGUAUGG
rnacentral:misc_RNA from 1 species